GACGAACGCUGGCGGCGUGCUUAACACAUGCAAGUCGAACGGAAAGGCCCUGCUUUUGUGGGGUGCUCGAGUGGCGAACGGGUGAGUAACACGUGAGUAACCUGCCCUUGACUUUGGGAUAACUUCAGGAAACUGGGGCUAAUACCGGAUAGGAGCUCCUGCUGCAUGGUGGGGGUUGGAAAGUUUCGGCGGUUGGGGAUGGACUCGCGGCGUAUCAGCUUGUUGGUUGGGUAGUGGCUUACCAAGGCUUUGACGGGUAGCCGGCCUGAGCGGGUGACCGGCCACAUUGGGACUGAGAUACGGCCCAGACUCCUACGGGAGGCAGCAGUGGGGAAUAGUGCACAAUGGGCGGAAGCCUGAUGCAGCAACGCCGCGUGCGGGAUGACGGCCUUCGGGUUGUAAACCGCUUUCGCCUGUGACGAAGCGUGAGUGACGGUAAUGGGUAAAGAAGCACCGGCUAACUACGUG
rnacentral:rRNA from 1 species